UUGCUUUGGCAGCACCUAUACUAAAACUGGAAUAAUACAGAGAAGAUUAGCAUGGCUUCUGCUCGAGGAUAACAAACAAAUUUGCGAUCUAUUUUUU
rnacentral:snRNA from 1 species